UCUGGCUCAGCUGUCACGUGACUGCCACGUCGCUUGCGACUUUGGAGACUACUAGCCUCUAGGGGGCGAAUGUCUUUACCGCUUCUUUUCCCACUUUGGUUUCCCCGUUAGUAGCGCAUGCGCAGCAUACGACUGCCGCCAGCUUUGUCUCCUGAACACCUCGUUCACCAUUUCUUCCUCCGGAGUCGGAAAGGCGCGCUUCUUUGGGCUCUUGAGAAGGUGGUCCGGAAGCUGGCGACCAAGGAACAAGACAAAUUCAUAGGAAAAAUGGAAAAGCAAAAGUUCUGAUGUUUUGCUUUUGAUUUCACCAACUCCAGGUGUUUUCUUUUUAGAAAGGUUCUCUGGCUGAGGCCCUGCAAAUUAGACUGAUGAAAGACAGACUAACAAGAGAAAAACAAAUCCCAGGGAGAUUAACACUUCAAGACAUCUCUUAUCUUGGACAUAUUCUGAUGUCCUCAAAAGAAAAUGUGACUGCAUCCAAAUGCUAUGAUGGCUCCCCAGUUGUGCAUUGUGACAUUGUGCCAACAUCAGAGAUGUAGAGUGGAGAGGUUCUGAGAAGCAGAAGCAUGUGGGAGUGGAAAAUUACCAAAGAUUGGUUGCAUUUUGCAACAGUGAUCUGAUAGCCUGACUUCCCUCACCUUCCUCCAGGUACAUACACCAUGAUACAAGUUUAGCUGUGAGUAUGACUAACUACAUGGUGAGUGUUUUCCAUUCUCCUGGUGAGUCAUUUGAAUCUGGUGGGUAGUUUGGGUCUCCCCCACCCCAACAGGAUUGUACUAUGACAUUGUAGUUGUGCAGCUCUAAAGAAAACUAAUGAGGGGCGCCUGGGUGGCUCAGUCAGUUAAGUGUAUGACUUUUGGUUUCAACUCAGGUCAUGAUCUUGCGGUUUGUGAGUUCAAGCCCCGCAUUGGGCUAUGCUCUGACAGUGUGGAUCUUACUUGGGAUUCUCUCUGUCUCUUUCUCUGUCCCUCCACUGUUCAUGUUGCCUGUCCCUUUCUCCAAAUAUAAAUAAACAAAUGAGAAAAAAUGAAAACUAUGCAUGGAAAAGGGAACUCUGCUCAUUGGGUAUAGAUGUGAGUUGUGGUGCUUGCUCUAAAAACACCUCCCAAAUGUUACGUUUUCAUUGACUCAUGACAUUAGUCAGUAGGCUUGCAGUAUAGUCUGGGACAUGGCAGUAGGAAAAUUAGAUGAUCAAGUCUCAGACUUGGUGGGGACAAACAUUAUGGCAGAAGAAUGCACAAGACCCAUGCCUUCUGUUCACAACCCAUGUGGAUGCCUAUGGGAAAGGACUGUUGGAGGAUAAACAGAAAUGCAAUCAACAAGCUGAUUUGGCCUGAACUUCCCAAGUAAGGACUGUAGCCACAUGGAUAUACUAUCACAGAGGGAAUCGCAAUCCAUUUACAAGUCAAGACUGGGCGUGAAAAUAAGCUGUUGUGAUUUUAGCACCUGAGACCAAGGAAGCCUGGCACACAUGCCCAAACUGCUAACUACACACUUAAGUAGCAAGUGGAACUCAAGGACACAUAAUCUGGGGCACUGGUCUUGGCAAAUGGACUAUGUAAUUAAUCUUCUUAUUCUUUGUCCCCCCCCACCCCCCGCCGCUUCCAUGUCUACUUCCUGGGAAACUGGGGUACUGGGGUUUGUGAAUAUAAAAGAAGAGCCAGGGAGUGGAAGAAUCUAACUUGGUGUUUUGUUUUGCUCCCAAACUAAGUUUCCUGGAUUUGGACUGUUAUGGAUGAUGAUAAUGAUCAUGGAUAUGGAAUGACAACUCUAAAGUGCUCCUAGUCUGGCCCAGAGGAUGGGAGGUGUUCUAGGGUGUUACAUGUUGGACAAGAAAGAAACUGCUGAGCCACCUGGAAAUGAUUCUGGACAUAUGGUGAUCGAAGACCUCAUUGAUCCACUUAACAAACAAGAUAUGAGUAACCCAAGCUUUGCUGUUGGACCUCCACAUAAUGUUUAACUGGCUCUUCUGCACCUUGCAUUUCUUGAAGGCUCAUGGAUUCCCGGAAUGAUACACAAGCAAAGGCUUGACUUUGAAAUCCCCACUUGCAUUAGCAUAACACAUGAGGAGAAGAAAACUGAGGUUCACAGAAAGUCUAUAUGAUCAAGUUUCCACAAUUCACAAGGAGUAGAACUGGGACAUGAACCCAGAUAAACUUGAUGCAAAUUUGCUGAACAUCUACUACCACAAGGAAUGACCAAUAAUGUUAAUAUUUUUUUGUCUUAAACCCAAUCCUACAUCAUUAAUUGUGUGAAAUAAAGCCACCAUGGAAACUCCCAUAUCAUAGAGUAUCAUGGGGACUUAAUUUUUUCUAAUUACUGAUGUAAUAUGUGUGGGGUUCAGAGAUUUUGAAAAUAUAGCCAAUAUGUAAGAGGAACCAUUGCUAAAAUUUGGUUAUAGAGUUUCUAAGAUUUUGUUCUUUGUUUAUAUGUACAGAUUUUAAGCAAAUGUAGAAACAUAUUGCUUUGUUACUUUUUCUUUAACAUAAUAAUACUGUAUAUUGACCAGUGUUUUCUGUGACAAUAAAUACUAAUGUUUAAUGUUUUUAUUUAUUUUUGAGAGAGAGAGAGAGAGAGAGAGAGAGAGAGAGAGAGAGAGAGAGAGACUGAGCACAAGCAAGGGAGGGGCAGAGACAGAGGGACACACAGAAUCCGAAGCAGGCUCCAGGCUCCGAGCUGUCAGCACAGAGCCUGACGUGGGGCUUGAACCACAAACCAUGAGAUCAUGACCUGAGCCGAAGUCAGACGCUCAACCAACUGAGCCACCCAGCGCCCCCCCCCCCCUUUUUAAGUAGGCUCCAUGCCCAGCAUACGGUUUGAACUCAUAUCCCUGAGAUCAAGAGCAGAUGCUCUAUUGAUUGAGCCAGCGAGGUGCCCCAGAUUUAUCAUUUUUGACAUUGUGCCAUAUUUGCCUUAUGUCUCUCUCCCUUUCUUUCUCUCCAUACACUCACUCACACACACACACACACACACACACACACACACACACACACAUUUAUGUUUUUUCAACCAUUUGAGGCUAGGUUGCGUAAGUCAUAUUUCCUUUCCCCUGAAAACUUUAGUGUAUUUCUAAGAAAAAGAAUAUUUUUCUGACACAACUACAGUACAGUUACCAAACUUAGGAAACUUAACAUUAAUAAAAUACUUUCAUUUUAUCAGUGCUCUAUAGUUGUAUCUGCUCUACACUCUAUAUCCCAAAUUAAUUGUCCUAAUUGCAUUAUGACAUUUAUUAUUUUUUUUUGUAUUUAUUGGUCCAGGACUACAUAUUGCAUUUAGUUAUUAUUUCUUUUAAUCUUCCUUUGAUUUGGAAUACUUUUACAGUCUUAGUCUUUCAUGACAUUAGCGUUUUUGCAGCAUACAGCUUAGUAGUUUUACAGAAUGUGUUUCAGUUUGAGUUUGUGUGAUAUCCUUCAGUAGGAUGCUACAUCUAGAUCUAAACAAGAAAAAUGAAGCUGAAAUAGCAUCAAUCACGAAUAUGGCUUUCAUCAAAAGAUAUUCUUGUAGAAAAAAAUUGUGCUACCAAAGGAUCACCCAAUAUGAAAAUAACAAGGGAUCAAGAGGAAUAAACAACACAGCUGCUAGGUAAUUAAUCCUUUAAGUAUAGCUAAUGAAAUUAGGUCGACAGAAACGGUUUUGUCAGUGGUGGGGGCUCCUGCCUUUUCAAUGUGUCACGUUGUGUAGGCAAAGCUAUAUCUACCGCAUAUACAAUUAUCAUGGGCAUCUUGACAAUUCAAUGUAUAUCCAUUUACUGAGUUAAUGAAUGACGAGGAUUACCCAGAACUGGCAUCUUUAGUCUUACGGUUAUUUUAUUUUGUUGUUUGUGUACUCGUUUCACAGGAAGCUAGAACAAGAAAAAAUACAAGAUUUUCUGCAUUCUA